rnacentral:rRNA from 1 species
UACGUAGGGCGCAAGCGUUGUCCGGAAUUAUUGGGCGUAAAGAGCUCGUAGGCGGUGUGUCGCGUCGGAUGUGAAAGCCCGGGGCUUAACCCCGGGUCUGCAUUCGAUACGGGCAGACUGGAGUGUGGUAGGGGAGAUCGGAAUUCCUGGUGUAGCGGUGAAAUGCGCAGAUAUCAGGAGGAACACCGGUGGCGAAGGCGGGUCUCUGGGCCGAUACUGACGCUGAGGAGCGAAAGCGUGGGGAGCGAACAGG